UACGUAGGGGGCAAGCGUUAUCCGGAUUUACUGGGUGUAAAGGGAGCGUAGGCGGUGCAGCAAGUCAGAAGUGAAAGCCCGGGGCUCAACUCCGGGACUGCUUUUGAAACUGUUGAACUAGAUUGCAGGAGAGGUAAGUGGAAUUCCUAGUGUAGCGGUGAAGUGCGUAGAUAUUAGGAGGAACACCAGUGGCGAAGGCGGCUUACUGGACUGUAAAUGACGCUGAGGCUCGAAAGCGUGGGGAGCAAACAGG
rnacentral:rRNA from 1 species